rnacentral:misc_RNA from 1 species
UUUUACUCUUGCUAAUUUAAUUUUGAAUAAAAAUCUUCUUGAAAAUUCAAUUAUCCUAUUGUUAAAUUCAAAUAUCUUGAUAAAGUAAAAAUAAAUAAAUAAAUGAAUUUGGUUUUAACUUUUCCCUCAGUGACCAGCCUAUGCUAAAUUUCCUCAGGAAACCUGCAAUACUAGACUGCCAAGAAAAAAGAAACACUUAAGAUAUCAUACAUAC